CAAACAGGCUUAAUAGCCUGUAGUCCCCCCGUACUGGGAAUCUAGUGUGGGGUCAUUCCACGGAUUCGUGACGCAGCUAACGCAUUAAGUUCCCCGCCUGGGGAGUACGACGCAAGCUAAAACUCAAAGGAAUUGACGGGGACCCGCACAAGCGGCGGAGCAUGCGGAUUAAUUCGAUGCAACGCGAAGAACCUUACCAAGCUUGACAUACACCAGACUCCGUAGAAAUACGGGACUCUUUGGACCUGGUAACAGUGGUGCAUUGUGUCAUCUCUGUGUGAGAGUGGGUUAAGUCCCAACGAGCAACCCUCUUUUUGCCAGCACUUAGGUGGGACUCAUGGGACUCCGGGGUCAUCGGAGAAGUGGGGAGACGUAAUUAUCCCCUUAGUUUGGCUUCAUUCUCAGGCGGUACAAAGGUGCAAUACCUGAGUGGACGAAUCCAAAAAACCGGUCCAUUCGGAUGAGUUUGGAAUGACCUCAAGAAUUGAGUCUAGAGCAGA
rnacentral:rRNA from 1 species